UGGGGAAUAUUGCACAAUGGGCGCAAGCCUGAUGCAGCCAUGCCGCGUGUGUGAAGAAGGCCUUCGGGUUGUAAAGCACUUUCAGCGAGGAGGAAGGUGGUGAGCUUAAUACGCUCAUCAAUUGACGUUACUCGCAGAAGAAGCACCGGCUAACUCCGUGCCAGCAGCCGCGGUAAUACGGAGGGUGCAAGCGUUAAUCGGAAUUACUGGGCGUAAAGCGCACGCAGGCGGUUUGUUAAGUCAGAUGGUGAAAUCCCCGGGCUCAACCUGGGAACUGCAUUUGAAACUGGCAAGCUAGAGUCUCGUAGAGGGGGGUAGAAUUCCAGGUGUAGCGGUGAAAUGCGUAGAGAUCUGGAGGAAUACCGGUGGCGAAGGCGGCCCCCUGGACGAAGACUGACGCUCAGGUGCGAAAGCGUGGGGCAGCAAACAGGAUUAGAUACCCUGGUAGUCCACGCUGUAAACGAUGUCGAUUUUGGAGGUUGUGCCCUUGAGGCGUGGNUUCCGGAGCUAACGCGUUAAAUCGACCGCCUGGGGGAG
rnacentral:rRNA from 1 species